rnacentral:sRNA from 1 species
UUUUGCCCCAGAUAGAAGUGAAAAGCUUCGCGGUUUUGAAAUUUAUUUUUUCUUGAGGUGGCAGAGCGACCGAAGGAAGCUCCUGCUGGCUCAUUAGAAAAAAAGAUUUCAGGACGAGAACUUGCAACGAAUAGCUGGAAUAGGC